CUCUAUCUCACCGUGCCCCACACCCACCAAUCCCUCCCCACGAGUUUCUCUCUCCCUCUUACUACUUCUCUCUCAGCCGAUCUCUCUCUCUUGUGCUGAAGGCCCAAAUCACCGCCACCACACGUCGAGCAAACCCAACACCGAGAACCACCAGCAGCAGCCACUGAUUUCGGAUCAACCACGCCAAGACUCACCACACACCCUCACAGUCCACAUUCGAGCCACACCGCUUGAGCAACGCCGGGUAACUCAAUUGACUAGUGGAGGUCGUGCCUUUCGUAGUCUUUGUUUUGAAGUGCCGCUGAGGACGUCUCCAACGCCUUAAACAGAUACCUUUGCCACCACGUCCACGGUGAAUUUAUCCUCGUCAAACCACUCCUGAAUGUAUUUUUUUUUUUUACUGUGAAUCUCUUGUCACCACGUCGAAAUUGAAUUUGUGAAAGUGUGGAUUA